CGGUCCCGGUCCCCGCCUCGCCCCGCUGCCCGGGCGCGGCUGCGCGGAGCCGGGCUGCGCGGAACGCUCGCCCGCUUCAGCGCCCCCGGGGCUGCUCCGCAGCCGCACCGCAGCGCCCGCGAGGCCUGACGGGAGGCGUAGUCCGCGCGGCAGGUGGCAUCCGCCAACGGCUCUAACGGUCCCUAACUGCUCCCCUCAGCGGCGCCCCACCGCACAGCCGGUAAGGAGGGAGGGAGCGAGGGAGGAGCACACAGACCACCGACCGCUGCCGCCAGGCAGCAAAUACACUACAACUGCAAGUCUAAAGAAUUUUCAAUAUUUAUGUUACAUUCAUUCUCAUGGAGUAACUUGCAUCACAGCAUAACUGCCACCACAUUCUGGAAGUACACAUCUCCUAUUAGUCCAGUUUCUCUAAAAGAAUGGGUGCUUUGAGAGGAGUGCAAAAGAAAAACUUGGAAGACCAGGAAAAACCAGGAGCAAAAGAAAACAUC